AUAAUACCGCAUGAUAUAUCGGAACCACAUGGUUCUGAUAUCAAAGAUUUUAUCGCUUGAAGAUGGACUCGCGUCCGAUUAGUUAGUUGGUGAGGUAACGGCUCACCAAGACCGCGAUCGGUAGCCGGACUGAGAGGUUGAACGGCCACAUUGGGACUGAGACACGGCCCAGAAUCCUACGGGGAGGGCAGCAGUGGGGGGAUAUUGCGCAAUGGGGGGCAACCCUGACGCAGCAACGCCGCGUGAAGGAUGAAGGUUUUUCGGAUUGUAAACUUCUUUUAUUAAGGACGAAAAAUGACGGUACUUAAUGAAUAAGCUCCGGCUAACUACGUGCCAGCAGCCGCGGUAAUACGUAGGGAGCAAGCGUUGUCCGGAUUUACUGGGUGUAAAGGGUGCGUAGGCGGCUUUGCAAGUCAGAUGUGAAAUCUAUGGGCUCAACCCAUAAACUGCAUUUGAAACUGUAGAGCUUGAGUGAAGUAGAGGCAGGCGGAAUUCCCCGUGUAGCGGUGAAAUGCGUAGAGAUGGGGAGGAACACCAGUGGCGAAGGCGGCCUGCUGGGCUUUAACUGACGCUGAGGCACGAAAGCGUGGGUAGCAAACAGGAUUAGAUACCCUGGUAGUCCACGCUGUAAACGAUGAUUACUAGGUGUGGGGGGUCUGACC
rnacentral:rRNA from 1 species